UACGAAGGGGGCUAGCGUUGUUCGGAAUUACUGGGCGUAAAGCGCGCGCAGGCGGUCUUCCAAGUCAGUGGUGAAAGCCCGGAGCUCAACUCCGGAACUGCCAUUGAAACUGUAAGACUUGAGGAUGAGAGAGGUGAGUGGAAUUCCGAGUGUAGAGGUGAAAUUCGUAGAUAUCGGGAGGAACACCUGUGGCGAAAGCGGCUCUCUGGCCCGGUACUGACGCUGAGGUGCGAAAGCGUGGGGAGCAAACAGG
rnacentral:rRNA from 1 species